rnacentral:pre_miRNA from 1 species
UGCUCAUAUGGCCACUAUCCUAGUUCAGGAUUUCAUCACCUCUAGCCUGGACUAUUGCAAUAGUUGCCAAAUUGGUCUC